rnacentral:misc_RNA from 1 species
AACGCAUAUUGCACUCUGCGGCAUUCCGUAGAGUAUGCCUGUUUCAGUCCCGUGAAUGAUUGGGAGCCGGUUCCGCCCUCAGGUCCUGUCCCGGUGCUGAUAAUAAAAGCAAACAACGAACAAGAAGGUACACACACACGCAUAUGAUGUGUUGUACGUCUCCCAUGUCAUUGAGGCUUGUCAAAAUUCGAGAUGUUUGAUUUUUGGCUGGCUUCCAAAAGGAUAAUCGCGGCGGAUCCAGGUUACCUUUCUUUGUGGAAGGUUGUGUUAGUUGGCUGGAAUUUUUGCAGUCAUCCUCACCGGAAGCAAGGAGGGAAAAAGGUAUUCUUUCUGGGUUGGCGUUGGGGUUUUGCAGGAAGGAUGCGAACAUGUUUGACCUGUUCGCAAUGUUCGGGCUGAAAUCAGGUAGGAUUACCCGCUGAACUUAA